rnacentral:lncRNA from 1 species
GUUCCGAGAAAAUGCUCUUACAUUCCUCGAGGAUGCUAGUUUCAUUAUCGCUAUAUCAAAUGUGUAACAACAAUCACCAAAAGUUAAUUGAAUUCCUUGAAAAAUAACAAAACAAAUUGGAGAACACCAAUCACAACCGAAUUAUGCAAGAAAAGGUUUAUUGAUUAGUUUAUUAUGAUAAACUAAUCAGCNUUCGAAGACUUUCAGUAAGCCCAUAUCUAGUUAUAAUUUAGUGAUAAAGUAACAAGCUACAUGACCACUAAAAUAUUUGAACAUACCAGUGGACAAUAGUACUAACAGAAUCUCUAUUAACUUCUUAAAAAUUGACAAAAUUAAGGAUACAUAUGAAACCCAAUAAAAGACUUCAGCAAAUUUAGAAAUAAUGAAUACACGCAAGAACACCAUCAAGACAAAUUAAUCGAUAGUUAUUAGAUAAUAGAAAGUAAUACACACUAGGUAGAAUUUUCGCAGAUUGCUAAAGAGAACUAACAUUUCAUCACUUGAAUUGAACCAAGAACAUCAUAAUCUAAACUUAGUUUGUUCUUUCGAACAACUCAUGAAACAGUUUCCAGGCAUAUAUCCAAUCAAAAACAAGGUAGAGAACUCACCUUAUAAGCGACAGCGGAAACAGUACGUGGGACACAUCGGCAAUGGCAGCUGCGGCAGAGCGCGAUGACAGCAGCUCGGCACGGUGAAGGCUGCUCGGGCACGGUGGCGUAGCACAAAUCUGGGCGAGGGCACUGUUGAAACUAUGCAAGAGAUGGUGAGGGAAAAACAGAGAUCAAAAUAGAAAAAAAAAAAUCAAAAUCCCUUACCUCUUCCAGCGAUUGGCAGGCACUAGUCCGCCGGCGGUGAGCUUUAACAGUGGCCUCGAGAGGGUGUGGCAGGGGAGUAAGGCAAUGAGAGGGUGAGUUACAGGCGGGAGAGAGAUUCAGGGCUCAACGAGAGACGCAGCGGAGCGGACCGGCGGUAGUGCAAGAAGGUGAUGCACUGGUCCGCCGGUGACGAAUUCAGUUUUUGAGAGUUUGAGAGAAAAUUAAGGACGUGAUAGAAUUUCUGAUAGUUUUUUUAGGGCUUUUAUUAAUUUUAAAAUGUUAUUCUCUAAAAAAUUGGAUGAGUGACGGAAAUAAUACACUUUGAUAAUUUUUUUUAAAAGCAACUUUUAAUUAUUCUUUUAACUUUUAAAUAACAUCACACUUACAACUAUAGAUUAUUAGGUUCGGUGUUAUAGAUUACUUUUAACUUCUCAUCUAAAACAACAGACAUAUAAGUCUAGUGUCUAUAAGCAUAUUUUUAUGCUAAAAGACCACAUACAAACAUAAUACCACAGACAAAACACAUAUGACCACAGACUUUAACAAAAACCAAUGUCGUAUGCGUAGUGUUAUAUACAAGUUUUGUUGUAGUG